rnacentral:rRNA from 1 species
CCUACGGGAGGCAGCAGUGAGGAAUAUUGGUCAAUGGUCGGAAGACUGAACCAGCCAAGUCGCGUGAAGGAUGACGGUCCUACGGGUUGUAAACUUCUUUUAUCAGGGAAUAAAGUGUGGCACGUGUGCCUUUUUGUAUGUACCUUAUGAAUAAGGAUCGGCUAACUCCGUGCCAGCAGCCGCGGUAAUACGGAGGAUCCGGACGUUAUCCGGAUUUAUUGGGUUUAAAGGGUGCGUAGGCGGGUUGUUAAGGCAGCGGGGAAAGGCUGGGGCUCAACCGUCGCCUGGCAGUUGAAAUUGGCAGUCUUGAGUUGGGGAGAGGUAGGCGGAAUGCGUGGUGUAGCGGUGAAAUGCUUAGAUAUCGCGAAGAACUCCGAUUGCGAAGGCAGCAUACCGGACGGCCACUGACGCUGAGGCACGAAAGCGUGGGUAUCGAACAGGAUUAGAUACCCUAGUAGUC